rnacentral:rRNA from 1 species
AGUUCGGAUCGCAGUCUGCAACUCGACUGCGUGAAGGUGGAGUCGCUAGUAAUCGCGGAUCAGCAACGCCGCGGUGAAUGACGUUCCCGGGCCUUGUACACACCGCCCGUCAAGUCAUGAAAGCCGGGAGUGCCUGAAGUGCGUGACCGCAAGGAGCGUCCUAAGGCAAUACCGGUGACUGGGGCUAAGUCGUAACAAGGUACC